rnacentral:lncRNA from 1 species
CAUAUCACGACAUCCCCACGUCACGCUGUCCCCAUGUCAUGAUAUACCCAAAUAACAACAUCCCCAUGUCACAACAUCCCUGUGUUAAACUGAUGUCCCCAUGUCACGACAUCCCCAUGUGACAACAUUCUCCUGUCACAAUAUCCCCAUGUCACACCGUCCCCAUGUCAUGAUAUCCCCAAAUCAUGACAUCUCCAUGUCAUGACAUCACCAUGUUAAAACAUCCCCAUGUCACAUUGUCUCCAUAUCAUGACAUCCCCACGUCACGACAUCCCCACAUAAAAACAUCCCCACAUUAAAACAUCCCCAUGUCACACUGCCCCCAUGUCAUGACAUCUCCAUGUCACGACAAACCCAUCUCACCCUGUCCCAUGUCAAGAUAACCCCAUGUCACAACAUCUCCAUGUCACGACAUCCCCAUGUCAUGACAUCCCCAUGUCACGCUGUCACCAUGUCACGACAUCCCCAUAUCAGGACAUCCCCAUGUCACCACAUCCCCUUCGCACAAUGUCCCCAUGUCACGACAUCCCCAUGUCACCGUGUCCCCAUGUCACAAUGUCCCCAUGUCACGAUAUCCCCAUGUCAAAAUAUCUGUCACAUCAUCCCCAUGUCACACUGUCCCCAUGUCACGAUGUCCCCAUGUCACGAUAUCCCCAAAUCAAUGUCACGACAUCCCCAUGUCAUGACAUCCCCAUUUCAAGAAAUCCCCAUGUCACGCUGUCCCCAUGUCACGACAUCCCCAUGUCACGACAUCUCCAUGUCACGACAUCCCCAUAUCAGGACAUCCCCAUGUCACAACAUCCCCUUGUAAGGACAUCCCCAUGUCACGACAUCCCCUUUGCACAAUGUCCCCAUGUCACGACAUCCCCAUGUCAAAAUAUCUGUAUGUCACAUCAUCCCCAUGUCACACUGUCCCCAUAUCACGAUGUCCCCAUGUCACGAUAUCCCCAAAUCAUGACAUCCUCAUGUCACGACAUCCCCAUGUCAUGACAUCCCCAUUUCAAGAAAUCCCCAUGUCACGCUG